UGCCUAAUACAUGCAAGUCGAACGAACUUCCGUUAAUUGAUUAUGACGUACUUGUACUGAUUGAGAUUUUAACACGAAGUGAGUGGCGAACGGGUGAGUAACACGUGGGUAACCUGCCCAGAAGUAGGGGAUAACACCUGGAAACAGAUGCUAAUACCGUAUAACAGAGAAAACCGCAUGGUUUUCUUUUAAAAGAUGGCUCUGCUAUCACUUCUGGAUGGACCCGCGGCGUAUUAGCUAGUUGGUGAGGUAAAGGCUCACCAAGGCAGUGAUACGUAGCCGACCUGAGAGGGUAAUCGGCCACAUUGGGACUGAGACACGGCCCAGACUCCUACGGGAGGCAGCAGUAGGGAAUCUUCCACAAUGGACGCAAGUCUGAUGGAGCAACGCCGCGUGAGUGAAGAAGGGUUUCGGCUCGUAAAGCUCUGUUGUUAAAGAAGAACGUGGGUAAGAGUAACUGUUUACCCAGUGACGGUAUUUAACCAGAAAGCCACGGCUAACUACGUGCCAGCAGCCGCGGUAAUACGUAGGUGGCAAGCGUUAUCCGGAUUUAUUGGGCGUAAAGCGAGCGCAGGCGGUCUUUUAAGUCUAAUGUGAAAGCCUUCGGCUCAACCGAAGAAGUGCAUUGGAAACUGGGAGACUUGAGUGCAGAAGAGGACAGUGGAACUCCAUGUGUAGCGGUGAAAUGCGUAGAUAUAUGGAAGAACACCAGUGGCGAAGGCGGCUGUCUGGUCUGCAACUGACGCUGAG
rnacentral:rRNA from 1 species